GGGGGGGGGGGGGUGGGGGGGGGCGCGGCGCAGCACUGCGCCCCAGGUUGACGCAGGCGUUGUCCAAGGAAUCAGAACAGCAGACCUUGCACUUCUCCUGUGAUCUCCAUCACGAACUGCUCGAGAUCGUCCUCUUCAGAGACGAGUGCUUCCCCCGCCUCUGCGCAGCUCAGCUGCUGUGUCUCAGCUGCGUCUUGUGAGGAAUAGGAUGGUGCACUUGAGACCUCCGACUGUGCCACGGAGUCCGCCUGGCUUCCUGGAAGCAGUUCCAGGCUUGGGAGGACAAGGAAGAGAACAAUCAGUACGUGACAUCUCUAACUGGAGAAGCGCUUUCAGCAAGAAGUCGUCCUCUGCGAAAACCUGUUUACUGACUGAGCUACUUUUCCCCACGACUUACUCAGCAGAGAUUUUGAGUAAGCAAUUGAAAUCAUUUCAGAGGACCUGUUCCUUUGUUGGAUUAUGCCACGACACAUCUCAAACACCCCCUUCUCCCCCUGAUGUGAAAGAACUUAUGUCUAAUGGAAAAAGGGCACUGAUGAUGAACGAGUUGUGGUCAUCACCUGCUUGGAGGUGUUUCGACUGCAGGAAUGGUCACCAGGCUGUCCCCGGGCAGGGCUGGAACGAUGGCCUAGGAAGAAACAAGACAUUGUGUAUGAAGCACGGGACAAAGAUUCCUAGGUAACUUCUUUUCCCAGAGAAGCUGCGGAUGCCCCGUCCCUGGAGGCAUCCAAGGCCAGGCUGGAUGGGUUUCCAGGCACUUGGAUCUCGUGGCUGGCAACCCUGCUCACAGCAGGACAGGUGGAACACGAGAUGAUCUCUGAGGACUCCUCCUCCCUUCCCUCAGCCUGAGCUGAGCCUGAACCCAAAUACGGAACCACGCUGCUCCCGAAGGAAGCAUUCUCUUGAAGGUUACAAGCGACCUUGGGUGUUUUUCACAGCGCAGCAUCAAUGGACAAAAUCCUUCCCACCACAGAGCCAUCUCCGAAUCCUAGAAUCGCAGACUAUUACAGAGUCAUCACUGCUCUACAUCUGAUCAAAACAGGAAGUUUGCACAAGUAUCCUGUGAGACAUCUGCUGCCUUCAAAGGAAACAGGAGACCUGCAGAACAUUUGACACUCCUACGUUUCUUCAAGAGCAAUGUAAACAAACCUUCCGUAUCCGCUACUGCUUAGAACCCCCUGUUCUUACCGUAGGUAGUUUUUUAGCUGGGGGCUCAUCUGUGUCCUCAGCAGCAGAUGGAUGCAUCUCUGCUGCUUUUCGUUUCCGUUUCUGCUUGGGGGGGAAGGUGGUUUUCCAAUCAAUAGGCUUCACGGCCUCCUUGCGUCCACCUAGAGUCAAAGGAAGGGAGAGCUGGUAGAGUCCUGCUGUGCCUCGAGAGAGAUCCACGUUCUCUUAUCGUUCCCGCAACCCUUCCUCAAAGUUAAAUCCACUUGACCAGUGGAGUUACACUGCCACGUGCUGGAUUCUCAGCAAUGUCUUCCACACAGUCAUCUCUGUCUGCCAGCAGUGCAUACAGAGGAACCAAGAAACCCAAUGGCUGCGCCCAGGAAUACCCCAGGGCAAGGAAAACUCUGACACAGAGCAAUCCUAGGUGGCAGCGUUACUUUUCUGAGACGCCGUCACGAGCUCCCUGUGCUCACCCUUGACUCGUUUCUUGCAGGGCAAUUCUUUUACUUUUCCCUCCUCCUCCUCAGAUCGCUUGCGUUUUUUUUCCAGCCGGGCCAUGGGAGGAAGUUGGGAUGUCAACUGCAGGGAACAGUCCCAGGAAAGAACAAUCAGAACAGCUAAGCAGAAAGACAGUGCAUCAAGCCCAGAUGCCUGUUGAGUAUCUGUACCUCUCUUUGGUGCCUUCCCAGGCUUCUUGCCCAGACUUCCUGCAAGGCCGCUCUUCGGAGGAAGGCCACUGGCGUCAGCUUCUGGCAGAGAGAAAACAAGAAGUAAGUGAAGAGCAUCUCUUUGGAGGAAGGUUUCAACACAGUCAGCCACAAGCUUUAAGUUUUGGAAGUCUGUCCCUCAAGCAGCUCCCAUUCACCAUCAACUGCCAUUCUGAACCCACCUGCACAAAGUUAAUUUCAUUUCCGCUGCAAAUUGCUGCAGUCACCAAGGCACAGCCAGCUAUCCAGCUAGUGCCUUGGUAGCCUUGUUCCUCUGGUUUUCCAUCUUAGCCCGUAUCUCCCCCCGCCCCCUCCCACCCCCCCCCCCCCCCCCCAAAAAAAAAAACAACCACCAUUCAGACGGCCAAAACACAAACUAAUAUUUCUCUUAGCGUGGCUCUUCCCUGCACUCCCCACCAGUGAAUGGUUACUUGACAUCCCGCACCCGCUCAGAAGUAAUAUUCCAGAUUAAAUCUUUCACGCUUCGUGCCAUCAGAAACUCACUUUGGCUUGGUGGUACGGCCAGUCCGUUCCCACCGCGUUCCUUCAAGUGGAGAAAGGCGCAGUGGGCUUUCUGACAGCCUCCUGGUUGAUCCUCCCAAUAGCACGGAAUCUCACUGCGCUUCUUCUGAAGAGAGAAAGAAAGGAAGGGUCACGGAAACAGGCGCACGAGGUUUGCAAAGAGACGCAGCGUUCCGGGUCGUGCCAGAGAUGGGACCGUCACAGUGCUGAAACAUCACCUAUCACUAAAGGAAACACCUGGGAGCGCAUUCACAACACCUGCGUGAGCUGUAACCGCUCGGCAUAUUUCGCUUUCUCAUCCUUCAGGUAGAGGAGACAGGCGCUCUCAGUUCAGGGGGUUAAACCAAUACACCUGCUGCAAAAUGCUCCCGUUAUUCGGGAGAAACGGUGCCUUCAGGUGCCGUGGCGAAGUCCACCAGAAAUGAUCGGGCAGAGCCUUAGCUCUUGACCAUCAUCUCUCGCCCCACCCUUUGCUACUCCAAGCAGCCAGAGCACAGUUGUCUGAAGAAAUCCAGGGCAGACAAGGCCUGGUAGACCGCAAGCAAGCCCCGCUGGCAGGAGGGCAGUGCCCGCUCUUUCCUCCCACCCUGCUCCAGCAGGUGUAGGAGUCUGAGCAAUGCGGUCUUUUUGCACCUGGGGAAAAAAUGCCUUUGGCACCUAGCGCAAACAGCUCUCGCUAACAUAGAGCUGAGGCAUGGAGUUCUCUUCCCCCUGCCUCCUCCCGGUCCCCUCUAGAAACAGAAACCCCUAAGAUUUUCACAGCAAACGUAUCUAGCCUGCACAAGUGCAUUCCGCCCACCUACAGCAAUGAAAAGCGGUUUUGUGGCUAAGUUGGAGAGCACGUCUUUAGGCAAACACUCACAUCAAUUCUCAUGUGCCUGAACUUGCAGUUGCCACUGGAACAGCGACCCUCCACCCACAGCCGGCACACUUGUUCGCUCCCCAGAGCCGCUUCACAGUGGCGGAAGGGACAGCUGUCUCCCUGCACGCAAAAGGAAACCACACGGGAAAAUAAGAGUACGGCCUGAAACGUGCCCAUGCUAUCAGCCCAGCUUGUUAGCAGCGAGCGCAGAAUCCCACCGGUUGUGAAGGUAACGCAUCAGUGGUAGGUCUCCCCCUGCUCCACCCCUUUCUCUUACGAAUGAGGACAAGGAAGAAAAUGCAGGCAAAGGAAACCCAACCAUACCUUCGUGCAGGUGGAGUAGAAAUAGAAGUAGCAGUCGACUCCUCGCUGAGACAUGAUGAAAUUCUCAGAGCAAGCUCGGCUUCAGAGGAGUUCCCUGCUCUUGGAAAGAGCCGGACGCCCUCCUUCUUGGACUGCUUGGAUCCGCAAAAUCGCCUUUCCGACCGGGACCCUGAGGAAAGGGUCAAGAACCGGAAAAGAAUGAGGAAUAAGCAUUUCCCCAGCUUUCCUUUUAUGCAAUUUAGACUCUCGAGGAGGGCAGCGUCUCGGAAGCAGCUGGUUGAAGAACUGUGCCAACUCUAGAUCCAACUUGCGUCUAACUGCCACGACCUCUCCCAGCAAGUACUGUCCUCCAUCUCACCUACAGUUACAUAACUUGCAGCACACAUUUUGCGUUCCUGUCAUGAGAAUGAAUCCAUCUUCUCCCCUUGCUGCAGCUGCAAGGGAUGCACUGGUACGACUCACGUGUUUGACGAACCUACGGUUGUGGCUUACCCAGGCACAGCUGCAGGCCUUCUCCCUUCCAGCUAACACACCAGCCCGAUGGCUGAGCAACACCGUCAGCGAGAGCGGGCAGCACCCGUCAGCCACCACCACUCUCACUGCCAGCCGGGACGAGGGCUGACGCAGCGUGUCCGCACUCCUGCGCAGCGCUCACGGCUGUGGCACUCACUGGUGGCAGCCACGGCCCGAAAGACAGUGCUUGUGAGGUCACUGUGCUUGUGAUGUCACCGGACAGUCCGUGCCCCAGCUGAGCACUUGGCUCUCCACCGUGACUCGAGUGGGGUUUUGUUAAAAAUAUGCUGGAUACGGCACAGCCAGCCAUCGGUGGGUCAAUAAAGCACAAGUUGCACUCUG